CGGGUACUUGUGUUAUAAGGUUUGCAUAUAGGGGUUCCUUUGUAACGUCCCGACAACUUACAGGGACUGAUUACUACUCCCACACAUCACCACGAGGCUUUCCAGUGUGCUUUGUCCUCACUUGCACACUUUCCGGGAAAACUUCCCGGAAGGUCACCCAUCCCAGAAUUACUCAACGUCCCGACAGCUUACAGGGACUGAUGACUUCC
rnacentral:lncRNA from 1 species